UCGAGCGAGGGCUCGUUUCCCGCAAGGGAGACGGGUUCCUAGCGGCGAACGGGUGAGUAACACGUGGGCAACCUGUCCUUUCGUGGGGGACAACAUCGAGAAAUCGGUGCUAAUACCGCAUGUCAUCACCACAGGCAUCUGUGGUGAGGAAAGCAGCAAUGCGCGAGAGGGUGGGCCCGCGGCCUAUCAGCUAGUCGGUGGGGUAACGGCCUACCGAGGCUUUGACGGGUAGCUGGUCUGAGAGGACGACCAGCCACACGGGGACUGAGACACGGCCCCGACACCUACGGGAGGCAGCAGUGAGGAAUCUUCCGCAAUGGGCGAAAGCCUGACGGAGCGACGCCGCGUGUGGGAUGAAGUCUCUCGGGAUGUAAACCACUGUCGGAGGGGAAGAGAACGGACGGUACCCUCCAAGAAAGCCCCGGCUAACUACGUGCCAGCAGCCGCGGUAAUACGUAGGGGGCAAGCGUUACUCGGAUUGACUGGGCGUAAAGCGCGUGUAGGCGGCUGGUCAAGCGUGAUGUGAAAUCUCCGGGCUCAACCCGGAAACUGCAUCGCGAACU
rnacentral:rRNA from 1 species